rfam:Alligator mississippiensis ScZkoYb_689, whole genome shotgun sequence.
CUCCAGUUAUGGUGACAUGGUGCCCAAGACCAUUGCCGGGAAGAUCUUUGGCUCCAUUUGCUCGCUGAGUGGGGUGCUGGUCAUUGCUCUGCCGGUUCCAGUUAUUGUUUCCAAC